UUAAAUCGAAUGUGAACUCUUUGGAUAAAAUGAAAAUGCCAGAUAGUAUUCUACUUAUUUAGCCAAGGGCUAUUUUGAUUAUUUAACAAUGAAAUAUUUUGAUUAUUUACGUUAUCACAACAACGGAUAGAAGAAUAAAGACGCCAUCGAAGGACCAACAGAUCCAUGGUGUCCCAACAGGACCUACUACUACGUCCAGUUUUGUAUUUGAAGAACUUGAGAAGGGAACCACGGUGACUGAUUAUCCAGCAGAUACGGGGUUCUCAGAGCAAGUUCCCCGGCGAGAUAUUCCAGCGUGGUUUCAUCUUGUCAGUGGUGGUGGACGGGGAUCUGACAAGGAAAGGCGUAUAGAUGUUUUGAUGGGACGAAAACCCGAGGACCCUGUAAACAUUGGCGUGCAUGCAAAAGAAUCCCUGGCAGUUGGAAUUCGAAAUAAGAGUAGACCGUAGCACGCUGUCCGGACAUUAAACCCCGUUUUAUUUCAUCUCAGUCAACUCACAAACAAUGAAAGCGGCUAAAUGACACGUAUGUUUCGCAGAAAACCACAAAAACAAAAUCAUGUUUCAUUUGUUUUAACCCUAAUAAAAUACAACUUGA